rnacentral:snoRNA from 1 species
UUUGCCCCUCUGGUAUCUGGUGUUCUGUCUAUAUAAAUAUGGCUGGACACUUCGUUUUUAAGGGCUAGAUAAAUUUUGGACAGGUUGCGACACGGUUAGCUUUUAUCCCACAAGCUUUCUGUUACUAAAUCCCUGCUCACAUCC